rnacentral:rRNA from 1 species
AUCCCCAGCUUGCUGGGGGGAUUAGUGGCGAACGGGUGAGUAACACGUGAGUAACCUGCCCUUGACUCUGGGAUAAGCCUGGGAAACUGGGUCUAAUACCGGAUAUGACCUUCCAUCGCAUGGUGGUUGGUGGAAAGCUUUUGUGGUUUUGGAUGGACUCGCGGCCUAUCAGCUUGUUGGUGGGGUAAUGGCCUACCAAGGCGACGACGGGUAGCCGGCCUGAGAGGGUGACCGGCCACACUGGGACUGAGACACGGCCCAGACUCCUACGGGAGGCAGCAGUGGGGAAUAUUGCACAAUGGGCGCAAGCCUGAUGCAGCGACGCCGCGUGAGGGAUGACGGCCUUCGGGUUGUAAACCUCUUUCAGUAGGGAAGAAGCCGCAAGGUGACGGUACCUGCAGAAGAAGCGCCGGCUAACUACGUGCCAGCAGCCGCGGUAAUACGUAGGGCGCAAGCGUUAUCCGGAAUUAUUGGGCGUAAAGAGCUCGUAGGCGGUUUGUCGCGUCUGCCGUGAAAGUCCGGGGCUCAACUCCGGAUCUGCGGUGGGUACGGGCAGACUAGAGUGAUGUAGGGGAGACUGGAAUUCCUGGUGUAGCGGUGAAAUGCGCAGAUAUCAGGAGGAACACCGAUGGCGAAGGCAGGUCUCUGGGCAUUAACUGACGCUGAGGAGCGAAAGCAUGGGGA